UGGGGAAUAUUGGACAAUGGGCGAAAGCCUGAUCCAGCCAUGCCGCGUGUGUGAAGAAGGUCUUCGGAUUGUAAAGCACUUUAAGUUGGGAGGAAGGGCAGUAAGUUAAUACCUUGCUGUUUUGACGUUACCGACAGAAUAAGCACCGGCUAACUCUGUGCCAGCAGCCGCGGUAAUACAGAGGGUGCAAGCGUUAAUCGGAAUUACUGGGCGUAAAGCGCGCGUAGGUGGUUUGUUAAGUUGGAUGUGAAAUCCCCGGGCUCAACCUGGGAACUGCAUCCAAAACUGGCAAGCUAGAGUAUGGUAGAGGGUGGUGGAAUUUCCUGUGUAGCGGUGAAAUGCGUAGAUAUAGGAAGGAACACCAGUGGCGAAGGCGACCACCUGGACUGAUACUGACACUGAGGUGCGAAAGCGUGGGGAGCAAACAGGAUUAGAUACCCGUGUAGUCCCUGAGCGGGCUGGCAAGGCGCAU
rnacentral:rRNA from 1 species